rnacentral:tRNA from 1 species
GAAAAAGUAUGCAAGAACUGCUAAUUCAUGCCUCCAUGUGUAAAAACAUGGCUUUUUCU